UACGUAGGGUGCAAGCGUUGUCCGGAAUUAUUGGGCGUAAAGAGCUCGUAGGCGGUCUGUCGCGUCUGCUGUGAAAACUCGGGGCUUAACCCCGGGCCUGCAGUGGGUACGGGCAGACUAGAGUGCGGUAGGGGAGACUGGAAUUCCUGGUGUAGCGGUGAAAUGCGCAGACUAUCAGGAGGGAACACCGGUGGCGAAGGCGGGUCUCUGGGCCGUAACUGACGCUGGAGGAGCGAAAGCCAUGGGGAGCGAACAGG
rnacentral:rRNA from 1 species